rnacentral:lncRNA from 1 species
AUAUAUUGAAGAACACCAAAACUCUUGAAUCUCAAUAUUUAUCAAUGGAAUCAGUUAAACCCCCAAUCAAAUUUGUGAAAAAAAUCACCUUAACGUUAAACGCAAAGGCAGUAUGUAUAUUACCUGAAUAUGAAAUGUACCCUAUUGGUAUACAGGCCAUAAAGUCUACUGUAGGAUUUUGAUUACAAAUUUCAAACUCAUAUAUAUAAGAUUGUUUAAUAUUUAAUGUUUAUGAUUCUAUAAAGCAUUAAGAGGCUGUCCGAGUAAAUAUCAGGCAAAUUCUAUGAUAUGAGUGGCACAACAUAAUUUUUUCCCACUGAAUUUUUGGUUCCAAUACAAUGUUUAUAUCAUACAAAGGAUAUAUAUGUCAAAGAUAUUUUUGAAUCAACAGUGGAUGGCUCAGAAAAUGAUUUUGAAGUUCACUAACAACGCAACAAAAUUGUGUACAAAAUGAACAGUUAUCUUCCCUUUUCAAUGAAUUUUCAGUGCUUUCUAUGUACUUUUUUUCUCUUUAUUUGUUGCAGUGAAUAAAAAACAAAAUUUAACUUUGAGAAAGAAUGAAUUUGUGAUAUGAAAU